CGUGUAGGCGGUCUGAUUAGCCUGAUGUGAAAGCCCUGGGCUCAACCCAGGAAGUGCAUUGGAUACUGUCAGACUUGAAUACGGGAGAGGGUAGUGGAAUUCCUAGUGUAGGAGUGAAAUCCGUAGAUAUUAGGAGGAACACCGGUGGCGAAGGCGGCUACCUGGACCGAUAUUGACGCUGAGACGCGAAAGCGUGGGUAGCAAACA
rnacentral:rRNA from 1 species